AUUGAACGCUGGCGGCAUGCCUUACACAUGCAAGUCGAACGGCAGCACGGGAACAAUCCUGGUGGCGAGUGGCGAACGGGUGAGUAAAGUAUCGGAACGUGCCCAGUCGUGGGGGAUAACGUAGCGAAAGUUACGCUAAUACCGCAUACGAUCUAUGGAUGAAAGCGGGGGAUCGCAAGACCUCGCGCGAUUGGAGCGGCCGAUAUCAGAUUAGGUAGUUGGUGGGGUAAAGGCUUACCAAGCCGACGAUCUGUAGCUGGUCUGAGAGGACGACCAGCCACACUGGGACUGAGACACGGCCCAGACUCCUACGGGAGGCAGCAGUGGGGAAUUUUGGACAAUGGGCGAAAGCCUGAUCCAGCCAUGCCGCGUGCAGGAUGAAGGCCUUCGGGUUGUAAACUGCUUUUGUACGGAACGAAAAGGUUUGGCCUAAUAAGCUGAGCUCAUGACGGUACCGUAAGAAUAAGCACCGGCUAACUACGUGCCAGCCGCCGCGGUAA
rnacentral:rRNA from 1 species